AUUUCCUAUCAGCUGAUAUGGAUCAAUAUCAGGAUCUAAAAAUCUAACAGUGUUUAUUGGUCUCAUGUCUUUUCCAACACAAUCAUCUCCUGCAUCUGUGAGGUCUUUGUGUCUCUUUGGCGUUUUGUCGUAAGGCGUCGCUCUAGAGAAAGACGACUGAAUGGUCGUCUGUUUCAGGCGCCAUGGGCUCCUCGCUCCUCUCGGGGUUCGUAACCUUUUGCGUUGCGCGUGCUCUGCGGCGUGGCGCUGCUUCAGGUGGUGAAAAAGAUUUGAGGUAUUCCCCGACUUUGUGAGAACAUGUACUCGACAUAAUUUACAGUCCACAUUACUCUGCUUCAUGUCCGACCUCCAAAAACCAAAAUACCUCCACACCACCGACGUUUUCCUAACGCCAGUGUUGUGGUUGACAUUGAUGUGGUCAUCUGUUGAGCCUUCAUGGUCAUUUCUGUCGGGGGUAGCACUCAUUUUCUUUGUUUCUCACCAACAGUGCUGUCGGCUUCACCUGUUAAAGUGCUAUGGUUGGGUGGAGCUGCUGUCUGCUACGACUUUGCUGCAGUUGGUUGAUACUUGGUUCUAAUUCAGAACAUGAUUGGUUCAGACCCGGAGAAACUCCCCUUUUCAUUGGCUGUUCGUAUAGUCGACCAAAACAUGUCAGAAUGACGACUAUUGAAAAGGAUAUUGAUCAUGUUUUACAUCGAUAUUGAGGGAAAUUAAUUUUCGAUAUGUAUCGUUAUCGUUUUAUCGCCCAGCCGUAACCAUGAGGUUUGAUCCUGGUUAUCUAUGUUAGUGAAGAUCUGUAAAACCAGAAUGAGUCAGACCGGACCACUGGGCCGGAUCCUGAUGAAGACAUUUUUGAAGGUCAGGUUCUGAUUCUUGUCUUUCUUAUGUUCUGGUAUCAUUUUGGUUCACAAGGACUGGUUUGUGCUCAAGUCCUCUUUUUUCUGUACAGCUCCAUUUUUAAAAGUUAUUAGGGGGUUCAUGUUUUCUAUGAUUGACACCUGAUACAGCCAAUGGGAGGACAGAGAUUGAGUAGAUCACCGGGGGAUAUGCUGUUUGAGCCGAGUGUCAUCACAGAGACUCUCACACUGAAAACGUACAACACGACUGCUCAAUGUUGGUUUCAGGAAAUGGAGAAAAAACGCAGAAUUACUGAGAACGUUUCGGCUUCAAAUCCUCAAACUGGAGGAAGGAGGAACCGAGGAGUCCAGAGUAAAUACAGACUGUGUUUUCAUUGGUUGGCGAAGGUUCAAUCACAGCUGAUUUCGACCCGCUGUCUCUUUGGGGAGCACUCUUCCCGGCUCUGUGCGCCUCCUGGGUCAGACCAGUUUCUCCUGGUCCACAGGCAGCUCUGAGGGACUUCAGCUGGAGCAUCAGCUGACUGACGGGGGUGAGGCUCUCCUCUUACACCCUAAUGAAGUGGACCCUGGAAACCAAUCUGCCGCCUCCUGUUGGAGCAAUAUCGUGGAUUCGAUCUUGAUUGUGCAUCAGUGGACCCAAACACAGAGCUGAAUGAGCAGCAGUGCAUCUGUGAGCCGGUCCUCUUUGUGGGCCUGAUGAAGACGCAGAGGGGUGAAUAGUGUGGAUGACCGGAGCCAAGAGGAGGUGAAACAGGAGGAGAGAGACCCAGGGAAUCCAGGACACAUGAUCCGGCAACCUGAGCCCGGCAGAAAGAGAAAACCUCAUCCCAGGGGAGAGCGGUAGAGCUGGAGCUGCAGGAGGUUUGAGUCCGGGCCCGGGUCUGAGGACGGGCCAGCACGGUUCUGCUGCUGCAGGAUGGAGUUUCAGUGAAAUGAGAUUCACAGGUGAGCCGCUCCGAUGUUCACUUCAGACCAUCUCAUUAGCUGAACCCUCGGUGACAUCUCUGCUCAGGAUGGACCCGAUAAGUUCUGAACCGGGCCGAGCAGUCGGACCGUGAGCUGGUUUUCAGGGCCGCCCGCCUGUUCCUUUGUUAUCUCUGCUGGGCGAAGCUGAAGCAGUCAGCCAAGAGGAAGGAAUGUGAGGUAUUUCCAGGGUCUGACAGGGGAGUGUGUGUGUGUGUGUGUGUGUGUGAGUGUGUGUGUGUGUGUGUGUUAGGGGGUUCAGGAGGUUGGUCAGUCAGUGCCCACCCAAAGCUCUGCAGCAGCAUGAAGCCCCUCCACACUCACACACACACACACACACACACACAUAAAGAAAGCCUUGUCCAACGCUCCACCUUCAUUCACUCCAACGCGUCGCUUUUCCACAUGCUUCUCUCUUCUUCUGCUGCUUUUUUCUCCUAUCCUCACACACACACACACACACACACACACACACACACACACACACACACACACACACUCAUACUCACACACACACACACACACACACACACACACACACACACACACACACACGCACUGAGUGACUAAACGAAAACUGGCGAAAAUGAUGAUUAUAUAAAUCUUAAUUAGUUUCCAGGGAUUAAAAGUGUGCAGAUUUGCUGUGUGAAGAAAACACUAACAGCUUGAAACCAUGAUUAUCUCUCUGCGUAGGUAUAAAAUUGGGGUUAAUACCUGAGAUGAAACAAACGGCUUAAAAGUCCCAAACCUCCUCGCGCCUGCCAGGGGAUUCUGGCAGCAUCAUAAUGACAGCAGGGAUUGAAAUACAGAGAAAACAGAAUAUUCACAAUUUAUUCUACAGACACAUUUCAUCCUCGCAGCGUCGCGGGUCUCGGUACAUCUUCUAAAUAAAAGAUGAUGAAUUGCAGCACAGCUGAGUCUGGUACAACAGGAGGAGAAAUCUCAGUGUUCAGUGAUAGAUAAGGUUUCUGUGUGUGUGUGUGUGUGUUAAUGUGGUUAAUGUACACAGCAUCAUUGAGAGGCUGGGCUUGCAGCAGGAUUCAGAUAUUAGGUGGCUCAUUUGGUGAGCUCACUGACUGCGAUCAGAUUUCAGGUCGAUGACCUUAAUGAUCAGACGGCAGCCCGCAGCAGAGUGGGGGGAGAACGGAGGGAGGAACAGCAGUGUGGACGGGUCGAGGUGGGGGUGGAGUUUGGAGGCCUGUUGAUUCACCGUUCAACUUAAAGGAGGGGUUAGACAGGAGUCUGUUAAAGAAGAAUCUUCAAAUAUCAGUCAAUAGUUAUUAGUUAUUGAUUAUUUGGUAAUAUAUCGAUAUCUCUGUGUUCUCUUAUGUCUGUGUCAUCAACAUCUGAACAUUUUUGAGCGGUCCGCUCUUUCUGACUGUAAACAAAGCCGUUCUCCACCUCCUCUAACCUGAUUGGUUGUGAGGCAGACGCUGCUCCCCCGUGUCGUUCAGGAGCCCAAACGAAGUUAGCGUGCUACAAUAUCGGACAGUAGAAACCAACCAGAAAGUUCGGAAAAUUGUCUGAAUCCUCCUUUGGCCACGACUGCCGACACAAGCAAGAAAACAAAGUAAAUACCGGAGACUCUGGAGGAAUAACGGGCGCUUAAAACGGAGGUAGACCGGACAAGAGCUAAAAAGCCGGGUCAACAUAAACGAUGGGGGACGCUUGGGGAUCUUGGUGACCCUGUAACCUUUCUGCUGGACAGGUAAACCGCUUUAACAAAGUAAGACAAGUGUCUGUAACAGAAGUGUUUCUUGUCAAACGGACCUGCUGUAGCGUGUUGUAGCACCAUCGCUAAACCGUCCUCCCUCGGGUCCUGGACUAUGUCACUUUAUCCUCGUUGUAGAAGUCCUGCAAACAUUGUGUUUGCUGGUAGUCUGUUGGCAUCUACAGUCGCACCAAUGCUUUUGACUUUCACCUUGACUGGGCCCCAUUUGUAAUGAUCUGAAGUAUUUAUCUGCAUUAUAUCUGAAUUUAACUGGAUCGAUACGAGCGAGCAGGAGCGUCUGUUUGUGGGCGGGGCUUAAGAGGAGGAGCUGAGGGGAAAACUGGUUGGGAGGGGUAGAGUUUACGUUCAAGAUUUCUCCUAAAAACUGGAACUAACUCAGAUCCUGACUACAACACCUUUAACAGAGGCAGCUGCUCUCAGACCAAAAAUGAAGAUAAAUCCACGUCUGACAAAAACAGCUGUUUGUUGUUGACUCUGCCGUCUUCUCCUUUUUCCUCCUGCUGAAUGAAACACAAACACUUGUUGAUAUCCAGGCUUUGUGAGGAUGUGUUGGCCGUUUUUCUCCUGGUGAUAGAAACCCGUCAUGUACCCCUCACAUGAGGAAAAACCGGUCAGAGAUCAGGCUGACAUGUAAAACCAUCUGAACGUCUGUGUGCAGCAGAGAUCUGAUUCAGAUAGAUGCUGAUUUAACGGGAGGAGGAGGAGAAGAUGGUUUCAUAAGAUGUAAAAGCUCUGUCCUUGGAUUCUACGGUCCUCCUUUUAGACUCAGGGCCAGUGUUGGGUGUCAGGAUGAGGACUUUUUUAUAAUUACAUCUCCAGUGAGAGUGUGACAGGUUGACCUGCUGCAGCUUCUCUUUGUUCUAUUUGUAGGUUUUCUGAUGGGAGUGAGUGAAGGAGGACGUGGAGGAGGUGGUUCUGUGCAGACGCUCCAUGUUUUGAUGCUAAUGGACAUUACUGUCAUCUUAGCAACAUAAAGAGAGACAUUAAUUAAAGCACGGUGAGCAUGACUGUAAGUAAAAGCAAAGUAAUUGACCUUCUCCUCUGUGAAGUGAUGGACACGUCUGUGUGUUACCUGCUGCUGCUGCUGCAUGAUCCUGACCUCAUGGAGAUGACAGGAGGAGUGAAGGAGAAGAAACUGCGCUGGUGUUUAUUUUUAUGACGUACAGCUCAGACGUCGAGGAAAAUGUUCAGUUCAUCUUUCUGGGGAAGACGUGCCCAGUUAGUCCAGGACCAGAACUUCAGGGAACCAAGAAGGACUUGUUCUCAGGAGACCAAGUGGAUUUUAUUUUCAGUGAUUUUACUCUGAUUUAGAAAAACAUGAUGAAUGUUUUAUUCUGUUCCUACCAAGUCUGCUUUAAUGGAUGAAGAACAGACAUUUAUCCCUCUAUUCAAACAGUCUGUCUAAUAUGUCUCCAUGGUAACAUCUGACCCACACAGUCAACAGAUCAGGGAUGUAAGGAUAUGAACGUUUCACAUCAGGAUUAUUGUGACUAAAAUUAUCACAGUAUCUUUGAAAUCUGUUCAAAAUGUUUAAAAAGUCCUUCUACACGCCCUGAAAUCAUUUAACAGAGUUUUAUUUUGAAAGAACCAUCAAAAUAAAACGCAGAAUGAACUUUUUCUUCACCUUUAAUAACAGGAACGAUAAACUUAAAAUAUUAAAGAUGAGCCUUAAAAGAGUCAGAGGUCAUCAACACUAGAAAUAACAAAAGACAAAGUCACGUGUCAGUGACAGAAACACGAACAUAAAAACAAAUAAAGUUUAAAUAAAAUGACAUUCAUUUUUGUGCAAAUUAUAAGAAUCUUCAAAAAGAUCGACUCUUACAAAUAUAAACCAGAACAACACGACUGUAUGAAACAGAACAGCCACCUGUUAACUAAGGUGUAGUUCAGGUGUAGUUCAGGUGUAGCUCCUUUAACUGGCUGUACAGUCUGGGUGGUUGUCACGUAGAUGGGACAUCAUGUCUGAAGUGUUUCCACCCUUCGCUGAGAUUUUUUCGGGGCAUUUUCCACAAACUGGUCGUCCGUCCUUCAUCAGUGUCUCUUCUGUGUCUUUGUAGGAACUGAAAUACGCUCAGACUUCGGACUUUGUUUUCUUUGACGGCGGAAAAAUCUCUACAACAUGGUCGGCAGACCUGCCCUCCACCAUGUUAACAAGUUGUAUACUUGUGCGCAUACUUGUGCGCAUGUGUGCGACGCGCCUGUGUCUGAGGGACUGUUUCGGCGGCGGCUCUUCUCAGCUCUGAGCAGAAUCACUGUGAGCUUUUCCAGAGAGCGACAAUCGAACACGGUUUUAACAGGAAUUAAAGAUGUAACCGGUAGUUCUAACCGUCAGACAUUUUACUGCUGUUUAUUAUUUUACCGGUAAUCAUUACAGUAACUACAGUAAACAGCUGUAGAUACACCAGAGCUCAGAUCUGUGAUUUUAUUCUCAUAUUUUAAAACCUGCUCCAAGAAGUCCUGACAGUCCCAGUCAAACCAGUGAUUCUGACUGGAAGAUCUUCUUGUGAGCUCUCUUUAUCCUGUUACCUGUUCUUAUGAGCUCUUCACCGUUAGCUCAUCCCUGUUAGCUCAUCCCUGUUAGCUCAUCCCUGUUAGCUCAUCCCUGUUAGCUCUUCCUGUUAGCUCAUCCCUGUUAGCUGAUUCCUGUUAGCUGAUUCCUGUUAGCUCUUCCUGUUAACUCAUCCCUGUUAGCUGAUUCCUGUUAGCUCUUCCUGUUAGCUCUUCACCGUUAGCUCAUCCCUGUUAGCUGAUUCCUGUUAGCUCUUCCUGUUAGCUCUUCACCGUUAGCUCAUCCCUGUUAGCUGAUCCUGUUAGCUCUUCCUGUUAGCUCAUCCCUGUUAGCUCUUCCUGUUAGCUCUUCCUGUUAGCUCAUCCCUGUUAGCUCAUCCCUGUUAGCUCUUCCUGUUAGCUCAUCCCUGUUAGCUCUUCCUGUUAGCUCGUCUCUGAUCGCCUCAGUUGUGGUAAAAUGUCGGCGGUUUCACCUCUCUCUGUUUUCACUCGUUCUUUUCUCCCACCUGGAUCCAUUCCUCAUCCCAGCACUCCUGUCUCUCCCCCUCUUUCUCCCCCUCUUUGGGUCAUUAGCAUGUUGCUGAUGGGGGCCGGUCGUCCAUUGAGCGGUGUGUGUGUGUGUGUGUGUGUGUGUGUGUGUUGGCCGUGGCUGCAGUGGACCUGUCAGGGCGGGUCAUUAAGAAAACGACGGGUCGGGGAAUACACAGACAAGGUUGAUUGGUUUCCUGCAGCCGUCAGCAGAGCCCUGCAGCAUCUCCUGACCCUGUGAGCCCCAUCUAACCUGCACACACACACACACACACACACACACACACACACACACACACACACACACACACACACACACACACACACACACACACACACACACAGACACAUUUGUAUACACACAAACAUGGAGGAAAUGUGCAAAGGGAGUCAAAUGGAAUGUAUCUACACGAAAAGUAACACACACACACACAGACACACACACACACACACACACACACACACUCUCUCACACACACACACACACACACACAGACACACUCUAUGCCCUCUGACCCUAACAGGGUAAAGACAGGGAGCCACACAGAGGUUCUGAUUACCCUGAUGCUGAUCCAUUAACUUUAUCUAUUUAGAUCCUGUUCAGGUUUGGACCUGAUCCAGAGCGCCCCACAAACACGAUCACAGCAGAACACCUAUGGUGCGUUCAUGAGCGUAGGACAAAUGAGAACUCACCGUAAAACAACAAAACUGAACGGUAUUUACCUGGAAACACUGAAACACCGUGGACUGUCUAACAGACGCUCGGCUGUAACGCUGUAACGUCAGAGAGACACACAGACCUCACCGAUGCAGGAACGUGUUUUUAGCGCAGCAGCUAGCGUAGCCUCGCCGAGUUAUUGAGUUAAAUAAAGUUUGAGUUUUCUGACUGUUAAUUUUGGCUUCAUGUUCCUUAUAAUCCGGUGUGCCUUAUCUGUGAAAAUAGACGCGUUUAUUGAUGCUGCGCCUUAGAGUGCGAAAAAUACGGUAACUUAUUGUAUUACAAAAGACAUGCGAUCAAUAAACACAGUGACAUUUCAUUUUUAUAUGAUAUUGAUCGAUAUCAGCUGAUAUGAAAAUUAUAUCAUAAUAAACUCUUUCCUGUUUCGCCCUAAACCAGAGUCAACGACCACCUCUGCCUUCAGAGCGAGGAGCUCUGCAGGAACAGAAACAGCCCUGAAGUUGACCCUUGUUUUCUUCAAAGGUCACAUGUGGGAUUGAACGCGGCGGUGGCGGCGGCGUGUGCAGCAGGGAGGGGCUCUGUCAUGCGUGCAUGGAUGGAAUGUUACCCAGCAUCCAUCUCUGCUGUCUGUUGUGCUGUGAAUGUCAAACCCAGAGGCUCUGACACCCCCCCACCCCCCCUUAGCUUUACGCCCCCCUACCCUACCUGACCCUGCGGUCUGAAGUGGUCCGGCCUACCUGAUGAACGGAGCGUUGUCCCGCCCCGGGCCUCUGAGCUCCAAAUGAGGCCUGUAAUAAUGUUACUGCAAAUGUCAGAGGGGGGGUUAUUAGUGUGCACGUGUGUGUGUGUGUGUGUGUGUGUGAAACUGUUAAGAGUGUGUGUAAGUGUGUGUUUACAGUGUGUGUUUACAGUGUGUGUUUUGGGGUGUGGUGCAUGCCCCCCCCCCAGUUUAAUCAGAUGCAUGAAUGUGUAAAAAUGCCAUUUAGCACGACACACCGAUGACUGCAGGCCUGUUAGUGGGUCUGACAGACGGACGGACGGACGGACGGGUUUGAGUGACAGCCCCGGCGCUGGUCCGUCUGUGUGUGACAGACAAAUACUAACACACACAAAUACUAACACACACACACACACACACACAUACUAACACACACACAAAUACUAACACACACACACACGGCGAUUGUUAACGCUCAGUAUAUUUGCUAAUGGGAGCUGUCUGAGGGGUGAGGCGGCGUUAACCUCUGAUCCACCGCGGGUCAACCACUUAUGAGCGAGAUAGAAUUCAUUAGGUUAGACCCACUUCAUCAUCAACAUCUGACUGAGCGAUUUCACAGCCAUGACACUGACAGACACACCGAGGAGGCGUGAAGGAGGCGCCGCCAGAACUCCGAGGAUCCUGACCGUAGACUGGAUCUUCAGAUGUGGACCCUAACAGGCCCCGCCCCCCUCUGAGGGUCAGUUAGUCGGUCCAGAAUCUCAUAAACUGAAUUACCGUUAUAACAGGAACAGCUGAGAGGGACCUGUGGUUUUCAUUUAGAGUGAAUCUGUCUCAUAAACUUUGAUUAUAUAUAAUUUUAUUUUUCUCUCUUUAUAGAAUGAAUCUUAUUAUUAUAAUCUGUGUUUUUUUUUAUUUUGGCCCCUCCCAUUUUAGACGAGACUGAAGGGCAAAACAAAUACAGUCUGAGUCAGAGGAUCACAGUCUAACCCCCGACCUCCACCUUCAUCCUGAUCGUCUCCUAAAAGGUCGUAUCCUCCGAUCGUAGCUGAUCGUAACCAUUCAAGUUAACGUGUCGAUUUACACCGACUUCUUUCAAAACGGGCGGAGACGAACAAGUGAAAGGUUUUUAGACGUCAUUUCACCCCGAUGACACCAUGGAUGAGGAGAUGCUGAUUCUAGAAGUCUAGAAGUAGAUUUCCUCCUCUGGAAGGACACAAUCUACUGCUUAUAUGUCUAUGUGUCUGUCUUUAUAGAGACGACUCGUUGUCGUGUGAUUGAACGUGAAUCUGCUGUUCCGGAUGCGGUGAAAAUUCGGCGUUAGUCUUCAGACAGUAUUGGUUCAGUGGUCGUCCUUCCUGGUGGAGAUGUCUGAGGUCAGUUACAGUCCGAUCAGCUGAGCAGACACGUCCUAACGAGGAUUUCUGACCCCUGAGGUGUUUCACCUGCAGAUCUUCGUUUGUCCUCUGAUAUUAUUUUAAAUGUUCUGUAAUAUUUUCAGAUCAGAGUCUCUGCGGCUGCUCCUCCCUCUGCUCCUCUCUCUGCUCCUCUCUCUGCUCCUCUCUCUGCUCCUCCCUCUGCUCCUCUCUCUGCUCCUCCCUCUGCUCCUCUCUCUGCUCCUCUCUCUGCUCCUCUCUCUGCUCCUCCCUCAGUCGUGCUUCAGUCUUCUGCUCAUUGGGCCUCUCUGAUCAUGUGAUCAGUGAGUGGAGGAAGUUUUCCUGAGGUUGGCUCCAGCAACACCUGAGAGUCUGAGGAGCUAAACAGUCACCCAGCCGGUCUGACUGGAUCUCAGACGGUUUAACUGAGUUUCCCUCCCACCACAGAAAACAGCCGACCGGGCGGCAAUUAAGAUGUUAACAGAUAUCUUCAUAAGGACGACAGAGCCGGGGGGUGGGGGGAGGAAGAGACCCUAACCGCAACAGAUUUCUCCCACUUCUAAUUAAUAGCGACGGCAAUUAAAGUGUAACUCAGCCCUCCUCCCCCCCCUCACCUCCCUGUCCUCUCUGCCAACAGCUCUGCAGGGUCGUGACGCAUCCUCUUCUGAUGUUCGCCCUCCUGUUGACGGCACUUCUGAUAAAACCGGCGUGUCGAAGGAGUGGGCAUGGACCGAAGUUCGCCGUCGUCUCCUCAGGGCUAAUCCUCGGCUGAAGGUGUCGUCAUCAUCAUCAUCAUCAUCAUCAUCAGAUCUUGGCAUUUAUAAGACUUAUGCAUCAUGUAGUUGUGUGUGUGUUUGUGUUUGUGUGUGUUUGUGUGUGACGACAGGGCCAGGUGAAUGAUAGUCCCUCUAAUUAGCAGGGUUGUGGCUCCUGCUCCGUGUGGCUCCAGAGACCGGUGGUCGGGGAGCGGGAGGUUCGGGUCUCGGUGGGGAGGACUCAGAAAAACAGCUUUAAUUGGUGCCAGUUAUUUAUAGACAAAGCACCUCUUUCAAGGUUAGUGGGUUAAGUCUGCUCGCCGCUCUGCUGGGACCGCCAUGUUCAGGGGCGACAAACAGAGGCUGCCAAAAAAACCUGCCACACCUCUCCAUCUCUGUGUGUGAGCGCGCACGCACACACACACACACACACACAGGCGGAGUGAAGUGCAGCUCUCCUGCACUCAGACCUGCUGUUUACACUCUUGGGUUUGUGCAGAGCUGCAGGAAGAGUGUGAUAGGAGGAGAAUAAUGGACAGAGCGAGCGAGAAACAGAGAGAGAGAGAGAGAUAGUGAGGCGUGGAGGGAAAAGACAAGGUGUGGAGGUUGCUCCUGGGUUGAAUCCCUCAUUGGAGGCGUCUUCAUCUGCCGCCCAAUCCUCCCGGGGGCUCCUACUUCUCCAUUUCAUUAGUUUGUCAGUCUGCACCGAGGAUUGUGCAUUAGGCCUUUAAUUUAGUGGAUAGCCAGAGGCUGAGCAGCCCUCUCAGCUCCAACAGGCUGGAAUCUAACUAGGAUCAGCUUAGUCUGACUUAAUGCACACACACACACACACACACACACACACACACACACACACACACACACACACACACACACACACUGACAGAAGACGAGGUGGGAGGUCUAUUUAUAUACUGUCUCUAUGUGCCUGUUUCUGUUUGAAGCAUCCUUCAUGUUGUAGAUUUGUUCACAGAGCGCUCUUAAACUCAUGCAGCUCCUAACUACACAACAGGACGCACAAACGCUUCAGUUACACUUACACACCAAAUCUAAGCGUGCGCACACAUGGUGCACUGUCAGCGGUUCUGUAUCACCAGGAGGAAACCCUCGUGGUCGUGAAGGUGGACCUUUUCAAAACCUCGAAACAUGAGAGUCUAAAGGGGACCUGGAUAAUAUAUAUAUAUGUAUAUAUAUAUACUGUAUAUAUAUAUAUGUGUACAUAUAUAUACACAUAUAUAUGUGUGUGUAUAUAUAUGUAUAUAUAUGUAUAUAUAUAUAUAUAUAUACACAUAUAUAUGUAUAUAUAUAUAUAUAUAUAUAUGUAUAUAUAUAUAUGUAUAUAUGAACCAUGAUUGGUUCAGACCCGGAGAAACUCCCCUUUUCUUUGGCUAUUCAUAUAGUCAAUCAAAACAUGUCAGAAUGCCGACUAUCAAAGAGCAUAUCAGUUUUAUAUUGAUUUUGAGGAAAAUUGAUUAUUGAUUUAUAUCGUUAUCGGUUUAUCGCCCAGUCCUGAUCGCUCUGGUCUGUGAUUGUUUCUAAAACUGUCAGAAGAAGAAGGUCAGGAGGAACCGCCAACAUCUUCUAGAAACAUCAGCAAUAAUCUGGUUCAGUGUGUCUCUGUCUUCUGAUCCUCUUUAUUAAUCGGACAUUGAUCUGAAAUGAUCAGAUAUUAUUGAUCCACACUGAGGACAACAUGCCGUGUAAUAUAUCAUAUGGAGGUUUUUCUCAUUUCCAUGGACCCUCAUGUUGUGUGACCCACCUCCUCAUCCACCUGGGUGUAUCAGCUGAUGGAGGAAUCUGGAGUCUCCGCUGUUUUUGGUCCCACCCAGUGGGUGGAGGUCCGACAGUCCAGGCUGACAGCAGAGAUGCUGGUGGAGAUACCUUCAGCUUCAGACCUGGAGGAGCUGACUCUCAGAGAGCUGAUGGAGGUCUUUGGGGGGGACAUGGGGACAUGGGUGGACCUCGAACAAAACAACAACAACUCCACUUCACACACACACACACACACACACACACACACACAGACACACACAUCAAUGUGGACAAAGAGCAGAAAGACAAAGAGCAGAGAGCCCCAGAGUGUCCCAUCACAGCUCCUUGUUUUUAAGUGCUGCUGCCCCCCCCCCCCUUUAACCCUCCCCUCUGACUCGCCCACCCUCCACAUCUCCACAGCUUUCACCCUGUUUUCUGGGGGUGGUAGGGGGGGCUUAAAGGCCGCGCUGAGGCUGUUGGUGGGGACGGGGGCCCUUCUUUUGUUUCCUGUUACAACAUGCAUCUCAGGGGCCGGCCUGGCUUCUGACCCCGCCGAGCUCACACUGAGCCCAGGCUGCGAGCUCCGAGGGAAAGGCCCAUCUGUGGCAUCCAUCAGGGCUGUGCUCUCCUGCUGAGCUACUGUCAGGAGCCGGAGGGGUGGGGGGGCGGGAGGGCGGGGGGCGGGAGGGGGUUUGUGGAAGAAUGGGGUUGUGGGGGGGGUUAAAGCACAGGGCCCUCCUCAGAUCUGUGUGUGUGUGUGUGUGAAGUUGGAGCGAGUGUGUGUAAUAAACACUGAAACAUGUGGAGCACAAGAAUCUGAAAGAGAGAGAGAGAGAGAGAGAGAGAGAGAGAGAGGGAGAGAGAGAGAGAGAGAGAGAGAGAGAGAGAGAGAGAGAGAGAGAGAGAGAGAGAGAGAGAGAGAGAGAGAGAGAGAGAGAGAGAGAGAGAGAGAGAGAGAGAGAGAGAGAGAGAGAGAGAGAGAGAGAGAGAGAGAGAGAGAGAGGAGACGGACGACAGACCGAAAAGAUCUCAGUGACUUCAGAACCUUAAAAAACCAACAUGGACACUAGAUCACACACACACGUUUAUAUAUAUAUAUACAUGUGUUAAAUAUAUAUAUAUAUAAGUGUUAAUGAAGCAUCCAUAAAGAACAUAAGAUCAUUUCCACAGUUUCACACAAAGUCUUUACUUGUGAAGAUCUUCAUGCUGUAAAUUACGGCCGGGCGAUACGUGAAAAAGUUUAUCAGGAUAUAUUUAUUUCCUAUCAGCUGAUAUCGAUCAAUAUCAGGAUCUAAAAAUCUAACAGUGUUUCUUGGUCUCAUGUCUUUUCCAACACAAUAAUCUCCUGCAUCUGUGAGGUCUUUGUGUCUCUUUGGCGUUUUGUCGUAAGGCGUCGCUCUAGAGAAAGCCGACUGAAUGGUCGUCUGUUUCAGGCGCCAUGGGCUCCUCGCUCCUCUCGGGGUUUGUAACCUUUUGCGUUGAGCCUUCAUGGUCAUUUCUGUCGGGGGUAGCACUCAUUUUCUUUGUUUCUCACCAACAGUGCUGUCGGCUUCACCUGUUAAAGUGCUAUGGUUGGGUGGAGCUGCUGUCUGCUACGACGCUG